rnacentral:rRNA from 1 species
ACGCUCGACACCUACGGGAGGCAGCAGUGAGGGAUAUUGGUCAAUGGGGGAAACCCUGAACCAGCAACGCCGCGUGAGGGAUGACGGCCUUGGUUGUAAACCUCUGUCCUCUGUGAAGAUAAUGACGGUAGCAGAGGAGGAAGCUCCGGCUAACUACGUGCUAGCAGCCGCGGUAAUCUGAGCCGGGCUGGACAAGGC